GACCCCAGGAGCAGGGGUCGCGCCGAAGAGCAGAGUCCGCGGCUGGAAACCAGGCAGGGGAGCCACGGAGUAGUCACACAGGUUUUCUGCCGCCUUUCAACUGGUCUUAUUUUGCUUUCAUUUUUCACCAGCCCAUGUGGGGUGUUUAAUGUUGCACGCGAACGCAGUUUCUUCCGGGCCCGGAAGGCCCACGCACGCAACAAUGUUGUGCAAGUGACUGGAAACCACCUGAGUGUCCCUCCAUGGGGGUGGGUUGCCCAGCAUGGACCUCUACUCCUGUCACAAUGAAGUCGACUGUUUCGUCGAGGGAAGUGGCCACCGUUGAUAAAAUGAAAAGACGCCAUGCAGAAUACUGUGCACAGGAGGAAAGGUCUGCGUGCCCUAAGAGAGAGCUGCUGGCGUGCAGAGAGAAGCAGAGAUGCCGACGACGGGGAGGAAACACACUGGCGGUGGUGAGGCUCCUUCCAGCAGCCACAGCCCUGGUUCCUCUCAGUCUGUGACCCUCCCACAUCCUUCCCAUCUAUGAGAGCCUGUAAACUCCUUUUGCUUAACCUUGUUUUAGUUAAGGUUUUAAACAGUUGCCACCAGUGUGCCCUAACCACCCCAGUGGCUUGAGUGUUUCUCCGCUUCUUUUGCCUAGGAUCUGCGGAGAUGGACAGGACAGGAGACUAAGGAGGUGAGAACCCUGGCCCACACCAUCACUAAGGGCCCUUCCUGAGGUCUGCUUCCCACAUGAAGUCCUCCCAGGGCCCUGAAUCCAGCCAUCCACCUCCUUGUUGGACAUAGGCUCCAUUAGAGAGAUGCGGGGCUCCAGCCCCCCUUGCUCUGCCUCCCUGUGAGAAGUUGCUGACAGUGAAGGAAAGGUCAGUGAGUCCUGCUAAUUAAAAAACACUUUGCCCCAUCCGAUUUCCCCUGACACAAGGUCACUCAGCACUAGCGCAAUUAAGUCUCAGCCCAGGACUGACUCUUUUUAACUCAAAGGGCGGGAGGGAACUCCAGGACCCCAGAUGGCAAACUGGCUCACACCGUGGACAACCUCCCACAAGGCCCUCCCAGGUCCCCUGGUACCCACUAGAGACCACACAGCCUGCCAGCUCUGCCUGCUGCCUGACUCACUGCAGACGAGUCCAUCCACACCACAGGCCCUGCCCACUGGGCUUGAGACUACUCGGACCCAGAGCAAGGAGAAGCAGGGUCCUUGCCUUGCAAAUGACUGAGAACUUGAGUGAGCCAGACUCCCCCAGGCCAGGGGAGCCCUGUGCCCCCAAUCUCUGUUCCCUCCCCAGUGGAACAACCAGGGCCGAAUUGUAAACCUUUCCUCAUUCAAUUCUUAGAACAGUAUUAUGAGGAAGGUAAUUUCAUUAUCUCAAGUUCAUAUUUGAGGAAAGUGAGGCAUAAGUUCACAUAGCUGCUAAUGAUGGAUCCAGGACUUAAACCCAGGUCUCAUGGAACCCUGAGUAACCCCUCCCCUCCCCACGCCCCAGGCUCUUGUUUUCAGCUGGACAGUCCUUCCAGGGUCACACUACUACAGACCCAAGAGCUACUGCUCAGCCUACCCCUCCCCAGUGACCAAAUCUGGAGGGCACUGAAGGAAUUCAUGUGCCGUCUGUCCCUUAAUCUGAACACAGAGCACACACAUCUCUGGCCCCAUGGAGCCCACAUCCCCAACCAGUGUGACAAGGAGCCCACCAUCUCCAGGCCGCCCUGUGGAGCAGAAAGAAGGCUGACCAGAGGCUGUGAACCAGGCAAAUCCACCCACCACAGACUGGGCCCUAAGUUCCCUAUAAAGGGAGAUUUAGAAAGCCAGGAAAUCCAGUGCCAAGGUUCACUUCCCUAAACCAUGGGGCCUGGGGCACAGACCACUGCUGUCUUCCAAUAUCUGGCCUCUCUUCUUUCUCCUACACACACAGCUAGACCUUUGCAUCAUUUCAGGUGGCUUGUGAGUUCUGGCCAGCAGAAUGUGAGAACAAGCAGAGUACUCUCCAUCUUCCCUCCCUGAUCCUCACCUCUUCCCCAACCACCAGCUGACUAGAGAUGCCUCCAACAGCUACAGGAGGCUGGACCCACAACAGGAAAGGAACCUGGGUCCAUGAAAGACUGUGUGGAGCAGAGAAUCCCCCACCCUAGUUCCCAGCAACUACCAGAGACUGUGG
rnacentral:lncRNA from 1 species